UAGUCCAGCGGCACCAUUCCGUACAAGAGCAGUUAUAUUUUAGGAAACUGGGACAAGAGGUCAAGGCUGGGAGUGCUUCGGGGUGAGUAAAGUAAGGUAGUUUGGAAUUAGGCAAAAUGGCAGGAUUAGGAAGGAUGUGCCAUUAAAUUAUACUGCAAAAAUACAAGCUGGGGUAUUGGAGAGGGGUCAGAUAGUAUGAAGAUUGAGCCAAAGAAAUCCCACACAUAUUAUCUCCUCAGCCAGAGCAUACAUCUCAAAUAAUAGAGACAUGCAUCUCACCUAAAAGCGAGAACGAUAUUCAGUUUUCUCAACGAAUAUGUAUUGAGUGACUUCUACUUAUAAGCACUGCAUGAGGUCCUACUGGGAAAAGAAAGACGAGUAAGAGCAAAAAAAAAAAAAAAUAAGCUCUAUGAGAGGAAGAUAAGUCGGGGCAGUGGGGGUUCAAGGGAGAAACAGACAGAAGAAACACAGAAAGUGGCUCUAUAGAGGAGGGGAGCUUUAGAAGAUGAGAACGAUUUCAAUCUGUGGAGGAUGGGGACUUUCCAGACUGAGACAAUGUUAUCUGCAAAUGAAUGGACGUGGGAGAGGCGGAAGACUUUUCAGAGGUUUUGCAUUCUAGACUGGCUGGAUCAUGGUUUUUGGAGACAGGCCUGGAAAUGGAGUGUGGCACUAGAAGAGAAGAACUUCGUUUCCAGGUCAGCAUCACAAGACGCAUGAAAGAGGACUCAUCGCCAGGGCAUGGAGCUGGUGUUUUGAUCAAAAUGGAAUUUGCUCUCAAAUAGACAUGUAUUCACUAAUCUCCUUUCUUUUAAAUAAGUAAAUAAAACAAACACAAAAUCUCUUCCAGCUCAGCUGACUAAGUCCUAGUGGGGAUGACAGCAACAUUCACUUGCAAGAUCCCACAGAGCUAGUGUCCAAAAUGAAAAUAAAUGUGACUUUUCAUAUCAA